rnacentral:rRNA from 1 species
AACAAACGCUGGCGGCGUGCCUAACACAUGCAAGUCGUACGAGAAAGGGUCCUUCGGGACCUGAGUAAAGUGGCGCACGGGUGAGUAACGCGUGGAUAAUCUGCCCUUCAGUUGGGAACAACUCAUCGAAAGGAGGGCUAAUACCGAAUAACACUGUGAGACUUUGGUCGAGCAGUCAAAGAGAGCCUCUGCUUGCAAGCCCUCGCUGAAGGAUGAGUCCGCGUACCAUUAGCUAAUUGGCAGGGUAAUGGCCUACCAAGGCGACGAUGGUUAGCUGGUCUGAGAGGAUGAUCAGCCACACUGGAACUGAGAUACGGUCCAGACUCCUACGGGAGGCAGCAGUGAGGAAUCUUGCGCAAUGGGGGAAACCCUGACGCAGCAACGCCGCGUGAGUGAGGAAGGUCUUCGGAUCGUAAAGCUCUGUCAGUUGGGAAGAAAUGCCUGAGGGUUAAUACCCUUCAGGCUUGACGGUACCAACAGAGGAAGCACCGGCUAACUCCGUGCCAGCAGCCGCGGUAAUACGGGGGGUGCAAGCGUUGUUCGGAAUUAUUGGGCGUAAAGAGCGUGUAGGCGGCCGGAUGUGUCAGAUGUGAAAGCCCUGGGCUUAACCCAGGAAGUGCAUUUGAAACUGUCCGGCUUGAGUAUGGGAGAGG